AUUGAACGCUGGCGGCAGGCCUAACACAUGCAAGUCGAACGAGUGGCGGACGGGUGAGUAAUGUCUGGGAAACUGCGUGAUGGAGGGGGAUAACUACUGGAAACGGUAGCUAAUACCGCAUACCAUCGGAGGGGCACAGUUGGGAUUAGCUAGUAGGGGGGGUAAAGGCUCACCGAGGCGACGCUCCCUGCCUGGUCUGAGAGGAUGACCAGCCUCACUGGAACUGAGACACCGUCCCGACCCCUACGGGGGGCAUCGUUGGGGAAUAUUGCACAAUGGGCGCAAGCCUGAUGCAGCCAUGCCGCGUGUAUGAAGAAGGCCUUCGGGUUGUAAAGUACUUUCAUCGGGGAGGCGUUACCCGCAGAAGAAGCACCGGCUAACUCCGUGCCAGCAGCCGCGGUAAUA
rnacentral:rRNA from 1 species